CUUUCAGGCACCAGGUUAAUGUCACAGAAGCAAACUGGUCAGCAUCCAGGGCAAGGAGCCAGAUGUAGUAACUGAACUCCAUUCUCUGAAAGACAAUAGCUCAGAGAGAAAAUGGAGAAGUUUCAAGAGGCCAGGAGAAUGUGAUUUAUGGUGGAGUUACAAUGUGGCAGUUGAGAACUAGACAAGACUGUGGGACUUCAUUUUUUCACCAUUUGCAGCAGCUGAUGGCAAUAAAAAUUGCAGAAUGCAUCAUCUGCAAGUGUUUUAUAGAGCUGAGAUGCUCAAGAGUUAGCCACCAGCCACAAGUGACUAUUGAAUACUUGGGAUGGGGCUAGUGUAACAAAGCAAGCCUUUUACAUCGUUUGCACCAUCCUCUCUCCUCAGCCUCCCAAAUCAUUGAGAUUACAGAUGUGAAGUACUGUGCCUGGCUCAAGAAACUUUGUCUUAAAGGGCAUAGAAAGGAGGGAAUGCUAGAGUGAUAACUGAUGGUAGAAAUGACAGCUGGGGUGAGUUGUAGUUGUUGUUUUUGUUGUUGUUUAACAUUAAAGACAUAAGAGAAUGUUUGUAUGUAGUGUGAAAUAUACUAAAAAGAAUAAAAAAGUUGGUGAUUCAGAAAAGAAAAGACAGUUUUUGGAACCAUGUCCUCUAGUGGAAUAUAAAAAACUCCCUUAUUUGGGAGCAAAGGAUGUCCCUCCUGGCUAAUAGGAGAGUGGUGGAGUGUGGGCACUGAUGCUGGUUCUUAGCUAUGUCUUUGUUCUCUUUACUCAUCUUAUCUUUUGUGUCUAGAAUAUAUUUCCUCUCCCUCUACAUAUCUAAAUCCAUUGCACUUCUAGCCAGCUGAAAUCUCACUUACAGCUAACAAGUCGAUACAGUAAUAUCACCUCACUCCUGAAUUUCACCAGCUUGAAUGACACACAUCUAAGUAAUGCCAUUGAAAAGGGCACGGAAACAAAACAUAUCCUACACCUAUGCUAGUGCGGUGUUUCUUCUUUUAUUAAUGAGAGAUACUCUACAUUGAUAAAUCCACCACAGUGCUCAUUAUGACCCAUGUUAUGGUGAACACUUAAGAAGGACAUGAUUAAAGUUGAAUAAAAUGCUUGUAUGUGUUCUCCUAUAAUUAUGAUUGCUGAUAAGUAUUAAGUGUCGGAGUUAUAUGAAGCAAAGGUAUGAGGAAAUGCCUAAUGAGCUUCUUCUUGUAGGUAGCUGAGAAUUAGGAAACUAUCUAUCAGGUCGGGAGUGCUGAGUUUCUUUGAUCAGAAGAGGAUGCAUGUAACUCGAGGGAGAUGUAUUAGGUUUUAUAAUAAAUACCUAAGAGAUACUUGGUAGAAGAGUUUGCAAAAUUAUAAUUGCACAAUUAUGUAUACUUGGGCAUAUCCUUUAUGGGAGAAGUACAAAGAAAAUUUGUAAAAGGACUGGAUUCAAGAAUGCGGACUUGGUUAUGAUAUAUGUGAAGAUACCGAUGAAACAAAGAUGCUGCAAAAUGUUUACUUUCUUGUGACCACAGGACUGAGUUGAACCAAGAACCAUUAAAAUAGAAGGUGGGCUAAAAUUUAAUUGAAUAGAGUGGUCCAAGUUGUCCUGGAGAGGGGUUCUUCAUGUUCAUGAUAAAAGUCCUAUGUAAUUGAAAUAAACUAUACUUAGGAACAUAACACAUGGAACACACAGUUCACCUUAGGAAAAGUCAGGGGAGAAAUCUGGUAGAGAGCUUUGCAUGAAACAAAAUAAGGAUCAUGGGAGGACAAACUUGAGAUAUAAAUAAAAGGAAUCACACUGAGUCUAUUUGUUGAUCAUUUCUUGGGUACUGAAGAUAUAAUGCCUCUCCUACUCAUGCCGCCUACUUUACGGUAAAGAAACUAAAUGUUAAUGAUUCCACAUUGCCUACCCAUGUGUAGGUAACAUAGCUUCUGGAAGGAACUCAGGCCUGAAAAAAAUCAGAACUUCAUUCUUUGAGAUACUCUUUAAGAUUGUGAAAACUAUGCCGUAACUGCUCUUUUUGCUGCUAUUUUCAUCUCCUAACAGAAUGCAAGAGGUUUGAGCUCUAAAGAAGUAGUAAAAGAAUGAACAACUAAUAUUUUUGUGCCAAUUAUUGCUUUCCCAAGCUGUGUAGGUGUAUUUCCUUCUCAAUUAAGUGAUAAGCUUCUUGAAGACCGUGAUUAGGGCCUCAUUCUUUAUUUUUCUUAAUGUCUGGGGUCAACAAUUUCCUGUCCUAAGUGCAUUUGGCUUCAGCAAAUACAUCUUUAUCUGAGAAAUCAACCCAAUAACAAAGAAAAAUAAAACAAAAUAAUAAAUAGUAACUUAAAUAAAUUGAUUUUACUCAGUAAAUUCAUUCUCCGGAGUAAACAUGAGAUCAAAGAUUUGAAUUUGUGGUUUCUUCUUUCUGACCCUCUCAGUACAAACAUCUAAAUGGAAUGAGCAAAAUUCCAGUAUUUAAAUGAGUAAGGAGUAUUUUUUUCUUCCUUUUUUAGCAAGUCUUUUAUGCCUAAUAGGAAAACAAAAAGAGUGAAAGAAAGAAAAGAAGGAAGGGAGGGAAAGAAAGAGAAAAAAGAAAAAAGAAGGAGCUCUUUCUUUCAGCACUGGGAAAAAAUAAUGCAGCAUGGGCUUAUGGUGAGAAUUUUAUUUCCAAUAUAUUGCUCUUACAAGGAUUUUUUCAGGAGUAAAUGUGAACAAUAUGUUAUGUUUGCAUACUUACUUUAAAGCCAAACUUUCCAAAGGCAGUAACAUGAGCAUAUACACUAGUGAUUGAAUAUUUAGAAAUCUUGAUCCACAAAUACUUGGUUGCUUCAGUUUUUCUUUAGAGGUCUCUGAUAUAAUCCCUCCCAUUUUGCAUUAUUUAGAAGCAAAAAAUCUCAUAUUUCAUUAAAUUUAUUAAGUCAUUAACUCUAAGUAAAACACAUCAUUAAUUUAAUAACACUUUUGGGGUAAAAUGAGGAACACUACAUUAAAAAUUAAGACAUAUGUCUUUUUAAUGAACUCACAUACAUCACUGAUUUGAAAAUUAAUUUUAAGCAUGUAAGUAUAAUUUUUAAUUCAUGAAUUGAAUGCUUAAAAAUAUAGGUCAUAACAAAGAAUACUAAAUUGGGACAAACCUAUGUUACUGUUCUUUGCCUAACUGGCAAUUAUUACUAUUAUUUUGAUUCAUAAAUAUUUACAAACCCAAGCUUUUAAAAAAUAUAAAAUGUUACAUCUACAUAAAAUGCCUUUGUUUUGCAUGAUGACAUUUUAAAGGAAAAUUUAAGUCAUGCAGAUAUAGCGGAUAUAGUAUGCAUAUAGAUUCAUGUAUAUGCUUUUAACUUAAUAUAUUUUUAAAAUCUCCAAGUUGUGUACAGAUCUAGUUUACUGUUUCAUUGCUAUUUAUUUACACCACAACUUACAUAUGUAUUUCCUAACUACACAUUGAAAGACUAUUUAUGUCUUUUUCUGAUUUUUGUUUUUGUAAGCAACAUUUCCAUAGCUGUGUUUUCUUGUGUAACAUGACUGUAAGUGCUUUCAUGAAGAGAGUCAGUGGCAUCUUCCACUUUUGGUUUUAAGAAAUUUUAAUUGCCCACGAAACUGGAUGCACCAAUUUACCCAUUCACCUGUUGUAAACGUGAAUUCUCCACAAAUCUUGCCAACUCAUGCUAUUACCAUUACUGUUCUUCUUGCUGAUAGGACAUUUUCCUGAGUACAGGCAAAGAUAAUCAGAUUGUCACACAUUUACUUAUAUGUUUAAUCAGCAUUUUGAUUUUCCGUUCUGUGGACUGCCUCUCUAUACUCAUGGACCAUUUUUCUGCUAAGUAUAAAAACUAUUAUUAUACUUUGUUUAUAUAGAUACUUGUAGCUAAA
rnacentral:lncRNA from 1 species